AGAGUUGAUCCUGGCUAGGACGAACGCUGGCGGCGUGCCUAACACAUGCAAGUCGAGCGAGGAGAUCCUUCGGGAUGAUCCUAGCGGCGGACGGGUGAGUAACACGUGGGCAACCUGCCUCAUAGAGAGGAAUAGCCUUCCGAAAGGGAGAUUAAUACCUCAUAACAUUGCAGUUUCGCAUGGAACAGCAAUUAAAGGAGCAAUCCACUAUGAGAUGGGCCCGCGGCGCAUUAGCUAGUUGGUGAGGUAACGGCUCACCAAGGCGACGAUGCGUAGCCGACCUGAGAGGGUGAUCGGCCACAUUGGGACUGAGACACGGCCCAGACUCCUACGGGAGGCAGCAGUGGGGAAUAUUGCACAAUGGGGGAAACCCUGAUGCAAGCAACGCCGCGUGAGUGAUGACGGCCUUCGGGUUGUAAAGCUCUGUCUUCAGGGACGAUAAUGACGGUACCUGAGGAGGAAGCCACGGCUAACUACGUGCCAGCAGCCGC
rnacentral:rRNA from 1 species